rnacentral:rRNA from 1 species
GCGGCCUACGGGAGGCAGCAGUGAGGAAUAUUGGUCAAUGGACGAGAGUCUGAACCAGCCAAGUAGCGUGCAGGAUGACGGCCCUAUGGGUUGUAAACUGCUUUUAUAAGGGAAUAAAGUGGGAGUCGUGACUCUUUUUGCAUGUACCUUAUGAAUAAGGACCGGCUAAUUCCGUGCCAGCAGCCGCGGUAAUACGGAAGGUCCGGGCGUUAUCCGGAUUUAUUGGGUUUAAAGGGAGCGUAGGCCGGAGAUUAAGCGUGUUGUGAAAUGUAGAUGCUCAACAUCUGCACUGCAGCGCGAA